CGAAGGUAAUGUUUGCACACAGAAAGACACUUAUCUUUUUUACUCUUUUCUGCUUUAGUUUUAACGGUGGCCCAAAUUCCUUAGUCCUUUAUUGAACAUCAUCAGUUGAUCGCCAAUUUAAAUGAUCCGGAGGAGGGUGAAGGCGACGCUAAAUCUCGGUGGCAUGGAAUUGGAGAUUUAAGGAUAAUGGUAAGGUUGACGAAGAGGAGAAAAAGGAAACGAGGAAGAAAGAUGAUUCAAAAGAAGAAUAAGGCAUAUCAUACAUGUAGCAAUACGUACAACAUCUCCAAGGGCUUCCUUUAGUGCAUCUUUGGUCAUGCCGCUUCAAGGAAAAUCUUUAUAUACCAUCGUUAUUUCUCCUUCACAUCAUCAUGCAUUUUCAUUGAUGUCACAUCAUGCAUUUUCAUUAAUGUAUUGUUUAAGUUUGAUGUUGAUUCAAUUAAAAAUCAUAGUUCACUUCUCUUAUGGUUGUGAAAGAAUCUUUGGGUCAAACAAAUAAGAUAUUGAGAUGUGUAAUGCAUUGAAUAGUCAAGAGUUAUGCGUGUUUUCAUUCAUGGAUGAGUUUAAUUUGUAUGCUUUAACUCAUUAGUUGCAAAUUUAUUUCUUUUUUCUACAUGAAAAAAAU